rnacentral:rRNA from 1 species
CGACGCUUCUUUCCUCCCGAGUGCUUGCACUCAAUUGGAAAGAGGAGUGGCGGACGGGUGAGUAACACGUGGGUAACCUACCCAUCAGAGGGGGAUAACACUUGGAAACAGGUGCUAAUACCGCAUAACAGUUUAUGCCGCAUGGCAUAAGAGUGAAAGGCGCUUUCGGGUGUCGCUGAUGGAUGGACCCGCGGUGCAUUAGCUAGUUGGUGAGGUAACGGCUCACCAAGGCCACGAUGCAUAGCCGACCUGAGAGGGUGAUCGGCCACACUGGGACUGAGACACGGCCCAGACUCCUACGGGAGGCAGCAGUAGGGAAUCUUCGGCAAUGGACGAAAGUCUGACCGAGCAACGCCGCGUGAGUGAAGAAGGUUUUCGGAUCGUAAAACUCUGUUGUUAGAGAAGAACAAGGACGUUAGUAACUGAACGUCCCCUGACGGUAUCUAACCAGAAAGCCACGGCUAACUACGUGCCAGCAGCCGCGGUAAUACGUAGGUGGCAAGCGUUGUCCGGAUUUAUUGGGCGUAAAGCGAGCGCAGGCGGUUUCUUAAGUCUGAUGUGAAAGCCCCCGGCUCAACCGGGGAGGGUCAUUGGAAACUGGGAGACUUGAGUGCAGAAGAGGAGAGUGGAAUUCCAUGUGUAGCGGUGAAAUGCGUAGAUAUAUGGAGGAACACCAGUGGCGAAGGCGGCUCUCUGGUCUGUAACUGACGCUGAGGCUCGAAAGCGUGNGGAGCAAACAGGAUUAGAUNCCCUGGUAGUC